rnacentral:snoRNA from 1 species
CGGCUGUAGCCAAAUUAACGAGGAAGAAAAACUGGUCGGCUUGCCCUCUAUUCAAUGGGCUAUCCGCUUACCGACCUUCCUAUAAUC